rnacentral:rRNA from 1 species
AGUGAACGCUGGCGGCGUGCCUAAUACAUGCAAGUCGAACGGAAUUUAAAAGAGCUUGCUCUUUUAAAUUUAGUGGCGCACGGGUGAGUAAUAUAUAGCUAAUCUGCCCCUCGCUGGAGGACAACAGUUAGAAAUGACUGCUAAUACUCCAUACUCCUUUUUACCAUAAGAUAAAUCGGGAAAGAAUUUCGGCAAGGGAUGAGACUAUAUCGUAUCAGCUAGUCGGUGGGGUAACGGCCUACCGAGGCUAUGACGCGUAACUGGUCUGAGAGGAUGAUCAGUCACAUUGGAACUGAGACACGGUCCAAACUCCUACGGGAGGCAGCAGUAGGGAAUAUUGCGCAAUGGGGGAAACCCUGACGCAGCAACGCCGCGUGGAGGAUGACACUUUUCGGAGCGUAAACUCCUUUUGUUAGGGAAG